GUGCUGGAGUUACAGAUGUGAGCCUCUGUGCUCAGCCCAUCCUUGGCUGUUCAAGUGUAGAGGUCCAGUGUCUGAUUCUUUUGGGAAGCUGGAUAUGAAGUCAGAAUCUUUCUUUGAGUCUUACAUUUUCAUGAUUAUGAUUAUGAUUGAAUGAUAGCUGACAGUUAUUGACAGCAAUUAUUGAGGACAAUUAUUGAGCUUUCACAAGCCCUUUUCAAAGGAACCCUGGCCAUGGGAGCUAUCUCAGCCUAAUGCUCUCCCAUUAUGAAAUUUUACACCUUCUUUCUGUAUCAGG
rnacentral:lncRNA from 1 species